GCGGCAUGGGUCCGAUGGUAAGAUUCUAUCUUAGGGUUAGUAGAAGUUGAGGCAAGCGCCUCCUUUUAAUAAGCCUGAUAGCGAACCGGGUUCGAUUCCCGGGUGCCGCC